rnacentral:sRNA from 1 species
GCUGGGUGUGGUGGUGCACACUUGUAAUCCCAGUGGCUUGGGAGGCUGAAGCAGCAGGAUUGCAAGUUUGAGGCAAGCCUUAACAAUUAGCAAGGCCCUUAGCAACUUAGUGAGACCCUGUAUCAA